CACCAGGCUUUUCUAAAAGCCAUAAAGAGAACAUUUCCUUUAGGGU
rfam:Sus scrofa isolate TJ Tabasco breed Duroc chromosome 13, whole genome shotgun sequence.